rnacentral:tRNA from 1 species
GCCUUCGUGGUGUAAUGGUGAGCACGUUCGGUGAGUAUUCGAGAGGUCUGAGCUUCGAGUCCCGGCGACGGCA